rnacentral:rRNA from 1 species
AUGGCUCCGCGCGUCGCCAUGCUGCUCCUGGCCGUGGCCGUCUUCUUCGCCUCUGCGUCGGCGCAGGACUUCAUGGCGCCUUCCACGGCCCCUGCUCCGGCGCCUGACGCCGCCGCGGCCGCCAGCGUGUCAGCGUUGGCCUUGGUGUCUUCAGCACUGGUGUCCCUUCUCGCGGCGGCGAUGAUGCAGUAG